CCUACGGGUGGCAGCAGUGGGGAAUAUUGCACAAUGGGGGAAACCCUGAUGCAGCGACGCCGCGUGAGGGAAGAAUGAAUUCGUUAUGUAAAGCUCUAUCAGCAGAGAAGAAAAUGACGGUACCUGAGUAAGAAGCUCUGGCUAACUUCGUGCCAGCAGCCGCGGUAAUACGGAGGGGGCAAGCGUUAUCCGGAUUUACUGGGUGUAAAGGGAGCGUAGACGGCAGUGCAAGUCAGUAGUGAAAGGCGGAGGCUCAACCCCCGAACUGCAAUGGAAACUGUAAGGCUGGAGUGCAGGAGAGGUAAGUGGAAUUCGUGGUGUAGCGGUGAAAUGCGUAGAUAUUAGGAGGAACACCAGUGGCGAAGGCAGCUUACUGAACUGUAACUGACGUUGAGGCUCGAAAGCGUGGGGAGCAAACAGGAUUAGAUACCCUUGUAGUC
rnacentral:rRNA from 1 species